GGAAUUGGUGAAGACAGAGUUAUUGAGUCAGAUACCCACCCUAGCCCCACACAAUCAAAGCAAUAUAUGAGAAAGACACAGAAACAAAAAAAGGCCAAAUAAGAGACAGGCAGCUAUACACGUGGGCACACACACAUCUAUAUAUACAAACACUACACAUCUCUCUUUCUCUGUAUUUAUACAUACACAAAUAUAUCACAAACAUAUAUUAGGAAGAUGAAGAGAAAAUUUCCAGCAGGCAGGCAAGGACUUCCAAGGGGAAAAAAAAUCAAGAAGUUUACAGAGACACUUCACCUAUUUGUGUUUGCAGAGUACCUGUCCCUGAUGUCUCUCCUGUUCUUGCUGAGAAAAGCAGAAUUAAUCCUGUUGCUUUGGAACUGAGCAAUAUGUCAGAAGGAAACAGUGUAAUUUCUGCAGGAAAGGUGUAAGGGUUGAUUUCUUGAAGGGAAGGAACCUGAAAAUCCCACUCAUUACAGAGCCUAAUACAUUGUCCCAGAACAGUUAACACUGGCUGCUGCCUAUGGAAGAGCCAUUAUUUCCAUGCUGUACUGCAAUCCUUCUCUAUUCAUGUGGACAAAAUCACAAUUUGAUUUGCUGGGUCAAAAUAAAGAAAAGAUUCUUGAAUUUGUAACUCUGGAAACUAUGACAUCUGACACUACUUCUUUUGACAGGAUUUAAUUACAGGAGGAGAGACAAGACCAAAGUGUGGAGUAUAAAUCUCAUUAUUAAAUGAUACUUUAAAAAAAACCAACCUAUACAGGGGAUAAUUUGUUGCUUUUUUUUUUUGUUAAA